rfam:Trichosporon oleaginosus strain IBC0246 unplaced genomic scaffold CC85scaffold_35, whole genome shotgun sequence.
GCCUCGUUAUAUCAGUCGGUAGAUUAAAUGACUCUUAAUGCGGAUCUUUGGGUUCCGGUUGAUCAUUCGGUCGUGGGUUCGAGCCCCACACGAGGCU